rnacentral:rRNA from 1 species
AGAACGAACGCUGGCGGCAUGCCUAAUACAUGCAAGUCGAACGAGCUCUUCGGAGUUAGUGGCGCACGGGUGCGUAACGCGUGGGAAUCUGCCCCUUGGUUCGGAAUAACAGUUGGAAACGACUGCUAAUACCGGAUGAUGACGAAAGUCCAAAGAUUUAUCGCCAAGGGAUGAGCCCGCGUAGGAUUAGCUAGUUGGUGAGGUAAAGGCUCACCAAGGCAACGAUCCUUAGCUGGUCUGAGAGGAUGAUCAGCCACACUGGGACUGAGACACGGCCCAGACUCCUACGGGAGGCAGCAGUGGGGAAUAUUGCACAAUGGGCGAAAGCCUGAUGCAGCGACGCCGCGUGAGGGAUGACGGCCUUCGGGUGUAAACCUCUUUCAGCAGGACGAAGCGCAAGUGACGGUACCUGCAGAAGAAGCACCGCUAACUACGUGCAGCAGCCGC